rnacentral:misc_RNA from 1 species
GUUCCGUACAGAAAAGAUUGUCAUAUCGCCGUUGUUCAUAUACACCUCCAAGAAAAUUUUGUUACAAGUGCCGUAUCUGGAAAAUCCCUAUUGAAUUAUACGCCUAUCAAAAUGUAUGCUGCUCUGUCACUCCCACGGCCACAGAUGGCAGGCCACCGACCGGCCUCGUCCCAAAAAUGAAAGAAAUUGGAGAAGAUGUUGGUAGUUCUUUCCUUCCUUUGCCUUUACAGUGUACAAUAGUUUAUUCAACUUACAAUGCUACACCAAACCUGCUGCUCACACCGCAAAAAAAGAGUCAUCUA